rnacentral:snRNA from 1 species
AUACUUACCUGGCAGGGGAGAUACCAUGAUCACGAAGGUGGUUUUCCCAGGGCGAGGCUUAUCCAUUGCACUCUGGACAUGCUGACCCCUGCGAUUUCCCCAAAUGUGGGAAACUCGACUGCAUAAUUUAUGGUAGUGGGGACUGCAUUCGCGCUCUCCCCUG